AACGAACGCUGGCGGCAGGCUUAACACAUGCAAGUCGAGCGCCCCGCAAGGGGAGCGGCAGACGGGGGAGUGACGCGUGGGAAUCUACCCAUCUCUACGGAAUAACGCAUGGAAACGUGUGCUAAUACCGUAUACGUCCUUCGGGAGAAAGAUUUAUCGGAGUUGGAUGGGCCCGCGUUGGAUUAGCUAGUGGGUGGGGGAAAGGCCUACCAAGGCGACGAUCAAUAGCUGGUCUGAGAGGAUGAUCAGCCACACUGGGACUGAGACAAGGCCCAGCCUCCUACGGGAGGCAGCAGUGGGGAAUAUUGGACAAUGGGCGCAAGCCUGACCGAGCCAUGCCGCGUGAGUGAUGAAGGCCCUAGGGAUGUAAAGCUCUUUCACCGGUGAAGAUAAUGACGGUAACCGGAGAAGAAGCCCCGGCUAACUUCGUGCCAGCAGCCGCCGUAAUAC
rnacentral:rRNA from 1 species